rnacentral:rRNA from 1 species
UACGUAGGGUGCAAGCGUUGUCCGGAAUUAUUGGGCGUAAAGAGCUCGUAGGCGGUUUGUCGCGUCUGCUGUGAAAACUCGGGGCUUAACCCCGGGCCUGCAGUGGGUACGGGCAGACUAGAGUGCGGUAGGGGAGACUGGAAUUCCUGGUGUAGCGGUGAAAUGCGCAGAUAUCAGGAGGAACACCGGUGGCGAAGGCGGGUCUCUGGGCCGAUACUGACGCUGAGGAGCGAAAGUGUGGGGAGCGAACAGG